UCCUGGUUGUGUUUCUAAGGCUUGAUUCA
rnacentral:piRNA from 1 species